AACAUCAACCCCUGACCUAAACUACUUGUGUUUUCUGUAAAUUCCAGAUACUGUAUGAAAAAAGCAUUGUAAAAUUUUUGUUCUGUUAGCUGAGGCAUGUAGCCCCCAGUCACGUUUCCCAUGCUUGCUCGAUUUAUCACGAUCCUUUCCCGUGGACCCCUUAAAGUUGUAAGCCUUUAAAAUGGCCAAGAAUUUAUUUUUUGGGGAGCUUGGCUCUUAAGACAGAGUCUGCCGACGCUCCCAGCCAAACAAAAAACCUCUUCCUUCUUUAAUCCGGUGUCUGAGGAGUUUUGUCUGCGGCUCGUCUUGCUACACCUCAGCCUUUGAGUAGCCAGAACUACAAGCAGGCAACACCCACUGGGCUAAUUUUCUAUAUUUGUAGAGAUGGGGUCGGCCUAUAUUGCCCAGGCUGGACUUGAUCUCCUGAGCUCAAGGGAUCCUCCCACCUCGGCCUCCAAAAGUGCAGGGAUUACAGGCAUGAACCACUGUGCCUGGUCCACGUGUAUUUACUGUGCUUUUUAUUGUUGGUAUUUCCCCUUCCAUACCUGUGUUCCAUUUAGUAUACUGAGGUUUUCUUUGGUUGGUUAAAAGUUAUAUAUUCUAGUUUCCUUCUAGGGUGGCUGCCCUUAACCUAUGACUCAUACCAAUAUGUAUCACAUUUAUUGGUAUUAAUGGUUUUGUUUUAUUCCUAAUUUUAGAAGUAUCAGCAUGUUUUCCUAUUCCUUUUGCGUGCCACCUCCAGCCCCAUUUUCCUGAUAUCUUUCCUAGCUGUAAUUCCCGGUUAUUCUUAGCUACACUUCCUUGUUUCUGCGAUCCUAACUUCACAUUUCCCUUGUUGUGAGAUAACAGUAAUCUGGAACAGAUUCUUUGGUCAAGUCCUCCUCGGUUCUCUUGUGGCAUCUCCUGUGUUUCUCUUGCUAUUGAGGUACCUUCGUCUAAACUAUUUCCAACUUGGAUCUUCAGGAGGCAAAUAUCCUUCAGGUUUUCUAUCAUUUCAAAUAUUUCUAAUACACUGUGUUGGGCAGGAUUCGGAAGCUGCCCCUUCAAGUUUCCUGUACCUUUUUUAGAACGAUAUGUUCUAGAAAACACUGAUGAUAGGACAACUAACCACUGUCUUAGCCUGUUUGAUCGAGCCUGGAGCGUACCAGCCGCAGGAAAAUCCAGUAUUUUAAGCAAGGAAGGAAGGAGUAUGAAAGUGGGAAUGGAAACGGGAAAGAAAAGGGGGCCAGGAAGAAGGGGAUGGAGAGAAUAAGGGCUGAGGGGCCUAGACAAACCAGCUGCUCCUAGUCUAGGCACCGCUAGUCUAGGUACUGUGAGUCUAGGCACCGCUAGUCUAAGUACUGUGAGUCUAGGCACCGCUAGUCUAGGUACUGUGAGUCUAGGCACCGCUAGUCUAGGCUCUGCACAUUCAUAAUUAAAACUACUAAUCAGUUGACCUUAAAAAGAGAGAUUUUCCUGGAUUCUCUGAGUGGGCCCAGUGUCAUUACAUGAGCUCUAAAAAGCUGAGAAUUUUCUCAGGCUGGAGCCAAGAAAGAUACAUCUGAUGUCAGAGAGAUUCUAAGCAUGAGAAGGAUUCCAUGCACUGUUGCUGACCCUGAGAUGUGGGGGCCGUGAGCAAGACUGGAGAGGGGCCUCUAGGAGUUAGGGAAGGGUCACAGCUGACAGUCCGCAGGGAAGCUGAGACCUCAGUACCGCAGAUCCAAGGACUGGAUUCUGCCAGCAACCUGAAUGUACUUCGCAGCAGAGGCUUCCAAAACCUCCCAAUCAGAGCCCAGCGGGUGGACACCUUGACCUUGACCUUGAGGAACUGGGAGCAGAGAAACCAAUCAAGCCAUCUCAGACUUGUAACCUAGAGGACUGUGAAAUAAUAAAGAUGUACUGAUUUAAGUAGGACCUGGACUAAGGAGUGGAUUCACCAGAGGAAAUUAUAUUUCAUGAGAUGGAACAUUCUGGGAAUGCUGACACUCAGCAGACCCCUGACUAUAUCAAAAGCUCUCACUGUGUCACCCAGUCUGGAGUGCAGUGGCAUCACCUCAACCCCCUGCAACCU